rnacentral:rRNA from 1 species
GAUGAACGCUGGCGGCGUGCCUAAUACAUGCAAGUCGAGCGAAUGAAGAGGAGCUUGCUCCUCUGAUUUAGCGGCGGACGGGUGAGUAACACGUGGGUAAUCUGCCUGUAAGACGGGGAUAACUCCGGGAAACCGGGGCUAAUACCGGAUAACAAAAGAAGAAGCAUUUCUUCUUUUUGAAAGUCGGUUUCGGCUGACGCUUACAGAUGAGCCCGCGGCGCAUUAGCUAGUUGGUGAGGUAACGGCUCACCAAGGCGACGAUGCGUAGCCGACGUGGGGGGGUGAGCGGCCAACCUGGGACUGAGACACGACCCAGACUCCGACGGGAGGCAGCAGUAGGGAAUCUUCGGCAAUGGGCGAAAGCCUGACCGAGCAACGCCGCGUGAGCGAUGAAGGCCUUCGGGUCGUAAAGCUCUGUUGUUAGGGAAGAACACGUACGAGAGUAACUGCUCGUACCUUGACGGUACCUAACCAGAAAGCCACGGCUAACUACGUGCCAGCCGCCGCGGUAA